UGCCUUCCAGUUACAAGCUUAUAUUCCGGAAUGAAAUUUCUCACAAUUUUCUGUCCUGGUUAAAUAAACUAUGAAUCGUCCCUGUGAGUUCCACUAGUGCCAUACCAAUCAUAUACCAUGUAAUACCUGCCAGAAUGACCUUGAGCCAUGGGCUGUUCACAAUGUCUAAUGCGAGAGAACCACCAAUAUGAUCUUUGAGUCUAACACUCGUUUCUUCUCCAAGUUUUAUCCAAACUGUAAUUGCUGCUGCUGUUGCUGUUGUGAAUGGCACUAUCCCGAGUCUGGGACUACCUUGAUGUUUCUCCCUUGGUGAGAAAGCUUCAUCAUAGAAUUCCAUUGGUAAUUUGGGGAAGGAAUCAACUUCACCAACUACCAAACUGGUGUCCGCAAGUGUAGGAGUUGAUGGAGACCAAUACUCAUCGUUGCUACUUUGAUUAACUGUUGAUUUUUUGACUUGUUUCAUAGCUUCUACAACAUGUCUAAGCUUCUUAACGUUGGGUUCAAUUAGCCUUCUCCUAACUGGUACCAAAGCAUGGAUGUCUUCUGCAUCUCCUCCAAUUGGUGAUUGCCAGUAGAAAAAAUUUGAUAUAGCUCGGAUUGCUUGAAAUGCUAAUAUUCGUGCCUCUUCUGAAGCCUUAGGAUUGGUUUUGUUGAAGGCACCUUGAUAUCUGCUCUGAAAUUUGUCUAGAUCAUCAAAUAUAUUGGAGGUACGAGCACCAACUGUAUUGCCAGUACCAAUUCUAACAUUACCUCGUGGCUUCUUCGACAUUAGGAAUUCAAGUGCAGCCAAAUUCGACCUCUCAACAACUGAGAUGCAAUCAACUGGACAUGCAUCUAUAGCUUCUUGAAUUUUGGCUUCUGUAUCAGCCCAUUGAGCAACAACUCUAGCUCUUCCAUACACACAUUCAACAGCAAAUGUCUUUUCAGCCAACAAAGCACAUUUUAAGCAGCCUACACACUUUACUUCAUCAACAAACACAGCUCUUUCUUCAUUAUCUUCACCACACCAUGCCGAAUACAAAGGUUUUCCUGUAUACCCCUUUAAAUCUGCUACUUUUGUCACUUCCUUAUCAUAAGCCAUACGCGCAACAGGAUCGGAAAGAAGCGCAUAAGCUUGAUUCAGUAUAAUAGCCAUUUCAUGUCCAGAUGGUCCAGCGAUAUCUGGGUGGCAUCGCUUCUGAAGCAUCCUAUAGGCUAGCUUAAUCUGUGCCUGGUUAGAUGAACUUUCAACUCCAAAAAGAUCAUAGAGGUCAAAAUCAGUGAUUGAACUAGUAUUAGCUCUGCAUACAAUAGAGUUCUUAUAAGUAUUUUUGUUAUGGAAUUUCCAUGAAUUUGGAAAAUGAGCUCUUUGAUUUAGAAAUUUGUUUAUGCUUUUCGUGGGAACGGUUUGUAUGGGCAGAGUAGAAGAAUGCAUUUUUUUUCCACAGGAAAAUGUGGUGAAAAAG
rnacentral:misc_RNA from 1 species